CCCUUCGGGGUGUAAACCUCUGUCAGAUGGGAAGAUGGGACUAGGGGCUAAUACCUCCUAGUCUUGACGGUACCAUCAAAGGAAGGGACGGCUAACUACGUGCCAGCCGCCGCGGUAAUACGUAGGUCCCGAGCGUUGCGCGAUGUUACUGGGCGUAAAGCGUCCGUAGCUGGUUUCGUAAGCGGAUUGUCAAAACCCGAAGCUCACCUUCGGCAAGGCAUUCCGAACUGCGUUACUUGAGUCCUGUUCAGGUAGGCGGAAUUCCCGGUGUAGCGGUGAAAUGCGUAAAUAUCGGGAGGAACACCAGUGGCGAAGGCGGCCUACUGGGACGGUACUGACGGUCAUGGACGAAAGCUGGGGGAGCAAACCGGAUUAUAUACCCGGGUAGUCCCAGCCGUAAACGAUGGAUGUUAGGUGUAGUGAUAACUUCGCUGCACCCCAGCUAACGCGUUAAACAUCCCGCCUGGGGAGUACGGGCGCAAGCCUGAAACUCAAAGGAAUUGACGG
rnacentral:rRNA from 1 species